GCCACCCUGAGACCGAUGCUAAGCAACAAUGGGGUCACGGCAAUAACCCACGUCUUCUUUCUCUUCCCUUUCUCCCCUGUGCGCUCACAUGAAGAGGAGUAUGUGGAGGAAGAAGAGGAAGAAUGGCUUGAGGAAGAAGACGGUCAGGAGGACCAGGUAGAUGAGGAGGAACAGGAGACAGAGGAAACCACGGCAGAAGAACAAGAAGAUGAAACGAAAGCACCAGGAGAAGGUGGUGAGGGGGACCGGGAGCAGGAGCCCGGGGAAGGUGAAUCAAAGCCCAAACCCAAGCCCUUCAUGCCCAACCUGGUGCCUCCCAAAAUCCCUGAUGGUGAGCGCCUGGAUUUCGAUGACAUCCACCGCAAGCGCAUGGAGAAGGACCUGAAUGAGCUGCAGGCCCUCAUUGAAGCCCACUUUGAGAGCAGGAAGAAGGAGGAAGAAGAGCUCAUCUCCCUCAAAGACAGGAUCGAGCAGCGGAGGGCAGAGAGGGCAGAGCAGCAGCGCAUCCGCAGUGAGAGGGAGAAGGAACGCCAGGCCCGCAUGGCUGAGGAGAGAGCUCGCAAGGAGGAAGAGGAGGCACGGAAGAAGGCUGAGGAAGAAGCUCGGAAAAAGAAAGCUUUCUCCAACAUGCUGCACUUCGGAGGCUACAUGCAGAAGUCAGAGAAAAAAGGUGGCAAGAAGCAAACGGAGCGGGAGAAGAAGAAAAAGAUCCUCAGCGAGCGGCGGAAGCCUCUGAACAUCGACCACCUCAGCGAAGACAAGCUGAGGGACAAAGCCAAGGAGCUGUGGCAAACCAUCCGUGACCUGGAGGCUGAGAAAUUCGACUUGCAGGAGAAGUUCAAGCGGCAGAAGUACGAGAUCAAUGUCCUCCGAAAUCGCGUCAGUGACCACCAGAAGGUGUAAGUACCCAGCCUGGCCGAGUGCCCUUCCUCAUCACUCAGUUUCACCCCAUGUUUCUCCCAGCUGCCCCACGCCUCAUCCUUACACACCUGCAGGGACCUCAGACUGUGCCACUGUGCUCCCACUGAGAAGCCCUCACCGGCCCCCAGCUCCCCCCUGCCCCCAAACAGACCCACGUAGAGCCCCGUGUGUCCUGCAGGCCACACAUACCUCCAGCUGCCCCAUCCCUUCUGUAUCCCUACCCACCACCUCAGGGAAGGACCCCCCCCAAGCUUGUAUGGGAGUGGAGAUCCCAUGGGCUGUGGGAGCUGUGCAGUCCCACAAAAACUUGGGAGCUGGUCCACACAUCCCUUGCACAACACUGGGGGACCUAGGGUGGAGGUGAGCAUUUAACCUGUUCUCCCAGGAGCACUGUGUUGCUCUCUUUCCCCUGUCUCAUCCUGCAUGAGCUGUUCCUAGCCUUCCCGUCAGUCAGUUAGCAGCAUUUCCCCCACUUACACCAAAUCUCUCUUCUCUUCUGCCCUCCCGUGGCCUGGUGCUGCAGCAAAGGGUAAGUGCAGGCUGCAUGCCUCCCAUCACACCUGUGCUGCAUGGACACCUGGGGCUGACCUUGCACCAGAAGUAGGGCUGAGGGAAGGACUGUUCUGGGAAAUGAUAUCAGAGUUGGGUUGGUGACUUUCAGGAUGCCCAAAAUGCCCAUUGCUGACUGUCCAAGUCACCACCACCAUCACCUCCUCCUCCACCUCCCUGCUAGCACAUGCCCAGAGCACCUGUUCCCCCAGUUCUGGAUAAGCAGCUCAGUACAGCCAGUCCCAGCUUCUCAGCCCCAGAAGAGGGAUCCCACAACAAUCACAAAACCCCUACAGCUGGAGGUCCUUUAUUUAUGCUCACUGGGAGGGAGGAGCAUAAUGAGGCCAUGGGGGCUGGUUGGAAACACCUGGUAGAACAUGAGCUUGUUCCUGAAGAGUCCCAAACCCGCUGGCUGGCUCAGCCCCCACAUUAGGGAAGGUGCUACUGAAGAUUUGCCUUGCAAGCAUCAACCAGCAAUAACUUGGUUCUCUUUUGAGGGUGCUCUAGCAGUAUCCAUCUCUCUCCUCUUUUCAUUUCCAUUAACACAUUUUGCCCGCUCUGCUUCCCAUCUAGGUCAAAGGGUGCCCGUGGGAAGACCAUGGUGGGUGGCCGGUGGAAGUAGAUGGCUCUGAAGGCAGAGGCAGCAACCACUGGCAGGAACACUGAGAUCUGAGACCCAGCGGGGGCCCAGCAUUGGAUCCAUAAGCUGGCAAUGGAAGUGCUGCACUGCUUGCCCUGAUCUGGAGCUCUGAGCUCUGUUUUUCACCCUGUCAGAGCUCAGUGCUCUCUGCACAUGACAUUGGUGGAUGCUCCCCGAGCAUCACAAAUCGAUGACGUUGCCCUACAGGUGGUGCUCUGCUGGUUUUGGAAGCGCUGCGAGCCCUUUAUCUGCACACGUAAAUAAAUAGAGUUGUGCCUUUGCAGAGCCAUAAAUCAAACCUUGAUAUCAUGACAAAGACAGAACGCUUUGAUCCAGGGCAGCACUUUGAUCUCCUGUGAUGAACCAGAUGUUGGUGAUUAUCUGUUGAAAUAGAGCAGUAAUUGUCACUUUUCAGGCAGUGUUGCUGCAAUGUCAGCCCGUUGGCUGUGGGCCAUGGCACACCUCAAAAUAAAGCAGGCAGAACAUGGAUAUCAAUUA